AGAAGGGUUUAAGGUGAAUGCCUUGGAGUCAUGAGGCGAAGAAGGCCGUGGCAAGCUGCGAAAAGCCGGGGGGAGGAGCAAACAUCCUGUGAUCCCCGGAUAGCCGAAUGGGGUAACCCGGCGGGAGCGAUCCCGCCAUCCGGCCGCUGAAUCAAAUAGGCGGCGGAAGCAAUACUAGGGGAACUGAACCAUCUAAGUACCCUGGGAACAGAAAUCAAUGAGAUUCCGAGAGUAGCGGCGAGCGAAAUUGGAAGAGCCUAAACCGUCCAUUAGGACGGGGUUGUAGGGUUUGCCGCGCGUUUAAACGCGGCGGAGUAAGAAAUGUCCAGUAUAGCGGAACGGUUUUGGGAAAGCCGGACAGAGAGGGUGAAAUCCCCGUACGCGACAUGGUGGACACUCCGUGGGCAGAUACCUGAGUACGGCGAGGCACGAGAAACCUUGUCGGAAUCCUGGUCGACCACGAUCAAAGGCUAAAUACUCCAUGACUACCGAUAGAGAAGAAGUACCGUGAGGGAAAGGCGAAAAGAACCCCGGUGAGGGGAGUGAAAGAGAACCUGAAACCUUAAACCCACAACAGGUCAGAGCCCAAUUUAUUGGGUGAUGGCGUGCCUUUUGUAGAAUGAGCCUGCGAGUUACGAUAGCGAGCGAGGUUAAGGCGUUGAAGCGCCGGAGCCGGAGGGAAACCGAGUCUGAAUAGGGCGUUCAGUUCGUUGUCGUAGACCCGAAGCCAAGUGAUCUAGAUAUGAGCAGGUUGAAAGUCAGGUAAAACUGAGUGGAGGACCGAACCCUAGUCUGUUAAAAAAGGCAGGGAUGACUUGUGUCUCGGAGCGAAAGACUAAACAAACUUGGAAAUAGCUGGCUCUCCCCGAAAUGCCUUGAGGGACAGCCUCAUCCAAAAGUAAUGAAGGUAGAGCACUGGAUGGACUAGGGGGCUUCACCGCCUACCAAACCCAAUCAAACUCCGAAUGUCAUUAUUCAACGGAUGGGAGUGAGACUGCGGGCGACAAGGUUCGUAGUCGAGAGGGAAACAGCCCAGACCGUUAGCUAAGGUCCCCAAAUACCGCUCAGUGUAAAAUGAUGUGUGAUGGCGAAGACAGCCAGGAUGUUGGCUUAGAAGCAGCCAUCAUUUAAAGAAAGCGUAAUAGCUCACUGGUCGAGUCAUGAUGCGCAGAUAAUGUAACGGGGCUAAGCGGUAUACCGAAGCUACGGGUUCAGUAAGCAAUUAUUGGACGGUAGGGGAGCAUUCCACGGACCGAUGAAGGUGCACUGAGAAGUGAGCUGGAGGGGGUGGAAGAGAGAAUGCAGGUAUAAGUACACGAAAAGACGGGUGAGAUCCCCGUCCGCCGAAAGCCUAAGGAUUCCUGGGUAAAGGUCAUCUGCCCAGGGUAAGUCGGCCCCUAAGGCGAGGACGAAAGUCGUAGUCGAUGGGAAACUGGUUCAGAUUCCAGUACCUUCCUUAGUUUUGAUGGGAUGACGCAUGAGGUGAAACCCGGCCGGGCGACGGUUGUCCCGGUCGAAGUGGUAAGCUAUUGGGGGUGUAGGCAAAUCCGCAUCUUCAGGUGAGCCAUGACAGCGAGUGAACCUACGGGGGAGCGAAGCGGGCGUAAUCAGGGUGCCAAGAAAUAAUCCCUAAAGCUAGGCUGAGGAAGACCGUACCGUAAACCGACACAGGUAGGCGGGAUGAGCAAUCUAAGGCGCUCGAGAGAACUCGCGUUAAGGAACUCGGCAAAAUGCAUACGUAACUUCGGGAGAAGUAUGACCUCAUACGGGAGUAUGGGGUGACACAAAGCAGUCCCAGGCGACUGUUUACCAAAAACACAGGCCUCUGCGAAUCAGCAAUGAGACGUAUAGGGGCUGACACCUGCCCGGUGCCGGAAGGUUAAGGGGAGCGGUUAUCCGUAAGGAGAAGCUGUGAACUGAAGCCCCGGUAAACGGCGGCCGUAACUAUAACGGUCCUAAGGUAGCGAAAUUCCUUGUCGGGUAAGUUCCGACCCGCACGAAAGGUGUAACGAUCUGGGAGCUGUCUCAACGCGAGACUCGGUGAAAUUUAUGUACCGGUAAAGAAGCCUGUUAUCCCCG
rnacentral:rRNA from 1 species